AGUGGACCAUUGGAGCUCGUCUUCGGCGAAGCUGACAUGAAAAUCGACCGCAUACACAUCGGUGUCCUCAUCUACACGGUGGCAGUAAGAAGAACGGGGCAUUGAAGCCAUCCACUUCAUCUACACAGCAGAGUAAGAAAAGUCUGAAGUAAAACCCAUAACCAAAGCUUGUCCAAGUGUUUGGAAGCUCAAAUAAAGUCUGAGCCAUGUUGAGGUCAAAAGAAGCUGCUCCAUCUCCAUCUCCCAUGGGUUGUGCUCCAGCAGGUGGUGGGUGCUCCAGCAGGUGGUGGGUGGUCCUGCUCCAUCCCCCAAAAGGGUCAUCUUCUUCAUCAGCUGUUGGAGGAAUGUUC